UGAGGGAAUAUUGGGUCAAUGGGCGGAAGCCUGAACCAGCCAAGUAGCGUGAGGGAUGACUGCCCUAUGGGUUGUAAACCUCUUUUAUAAGGGAAUAAAAAUACGGGACGUGUCCUGUUUUGCAUGUACCUUAUGAAUAAGGACCGGCUAAUUCCGUGCCAGCAGCCGCGGUAAUACGGAAGGUCCGGGCGUUGUUCGGAAUCAUUGGGCGUAAAGGGCAUGUAGGCGGUCUAUCAAGCCAGGCGUGAAAGCCAGGGGCUCAACCCCUGAACUGCGCUUGGAACUGGCGGACUGGAGUCGCUGAGGGGGAACCGGAAUUCCUGGUGUAGGGGUGAAAUCUGUAGAUAUCAGGAAGAACACCAAUGGCGAAGGCAGGUUUCCAGCAGACGACUGACGCUGAGGUGCGAAGGUGCGGGGAGCAAACAGGAUUAGAUACCCUGGUAGU
rnacentral:rRNA from 1 species